ACGGCUCAGUAACACGUGGAUAACCUGCCCUUGGGACCGGCAUAACCCCGGGAAACUGGGGAUAAUUCCGGAUAACGCAUAUGUGCUGGAAUGCUUUAUGCGUAAAAUGGAUUCGUCCGCCCAAGGAUGGGUCUGCGGCCUAUCAGGUAGUAGUGGGUGUAAUGUACCUACUAGCCGACAACGGGUACGGGUUGUGAGAGCAAGAGCCCGGAGAUGGAUUCUGAGACAUGAAUCCAGGCCCUACGGGGCGCAGCAGGCGCGAAAACUUUACAAUGCGGGAAACCGUGAUAAGGGGACACCGAGUGUCAGCAUCAUAUGCUGGCUGUCCAGGUGUGUAAAAUACACCUGUUAGCAAGGGCCGGGCAAGACCGGUGCCAGCCGCCGCGGUAACACCGGCGGCCCGAGUGGUGAUCGUGAUUAUUGGGUCUAAAGGGUCCGUAGCCGGUUUGGUCAGUCCUCCGGGAAAUCUGAUAGCUCAACUAUUAGGCUAUCGGGGGAUACUGCCAGACUUGGAACCGGGAGAGGUAAGAGGUACUACAGGGGUAGGAGUGAAAUCUUGUAAUCCCUGUGGGACCACCUGUGGCGAAGGCGUCUUACCAGAACGGGUUCGACGGUGAGGGACGAAAGCUGGGGGCACGAACCGGAUUAGAUACCCGGGUAGUCCCAGCCGUAAACGAUGCUCGCUAGGUGUCAGGCAUGGCGCGACCGUGUCUGGUGCCGCAGGGAAGCCGUGAAGCGAGCCACCUGGGAAGUACGGCCGCAAGGCUGAAACUUAAAGGAAUUGGCGGGGGAGCAC
rnacentral:rRNA from 1 species